rnacentral:rRNA from 1 species
UUUAAAUAGCUGCAGUAUUUUAACUGUACAAAGGUAGCAUAAUAAUUAGUCUUUUAAUUGAGGUCUAGAAUGAAUGGUUUGUCAAGAAAAAAGCUUUAUUAAGUUAUAUUUUUUGAAUUUUAUUUUUAAGUUAAAAAGCUUAAAUUUUUUAUUGGGACGAUAAGACCCUAUAGAUCUUUAAAUUUUUAAAUGUUAUAGGUUUUUGGUUGGUUAAAUUUAAAUUUUUUAAAAUUUUUUGUUGGGGUGACAAUUAAAAUUUAAGAACUUUAAUGUUUUAAACCAUAAAUUUAUGAAAUUAAGAUCUUUAAUUUUUGAUUUUUAGAAUAAGAUACCUUAGGGAUAACAGCACAAUAGUUUUGGAAAGUUCAUAUUGAAAAAAUUGUUUGUGACCUCGAUGUUGAAUUAAUUAAAGAUUUAGAAGCAGAAAUUUAAAUUCUAGGUCUGUUCGACCUUUAAAAAAUUACA